rnacentral:rRNA from 1 species
UACGGGGGGGGGCAAGCGUUGUUCGGAAUUACUGGGCGUAAAGGGCUCGUAGGUGGCCAACUAAGUCAGACGUGAAAUCCCUCGGCUUAACCGGGGAACUGCGUCUGAUACUGGAUGGCUUGAGUUCGGGGAGAGGGAUGCGGAAUUCCAGGUGUAGCGGUGAAAUGCGUAGAUAUCGGGAGGAACACCAGUAGCGAAGGCGGCACUCUGGGCCGGUACUGACGCUGAGGAGCGAAAGCGUGGGGAGCGAACAGG